rnacentral:misc_RNA from 1 species
CCUGGUUUCGUCAUUAGUUCAUUAGUUUAUCUCCUUCCCUUCUUCACUUUCUUUUGAUCUCAUGUGCCGUUUCGAUGCCUGCUAUGUGAUUUCGAUUUACAUCUCGUUUUGUUGUUGAGUCGAAUUUGAUUUAUGCCCUCUUAGCUGAUUGAUUUGUUCAAGUUAUGAUAUUAGACUUCUGUAAAUUUCAGCUCCAUCUUAUGAAAAAUAAUUCGAUUUUGAAUUAAUUGUUUGCUCAUUCUUUUGUUUUUUUUCCCCCUCCACCUCCACAAGUACGAUUAGCAUUUUGUUUCAAGUUUCGAUAUAUUUUCGGUUUCUCUAUCAGUCAGUUAGUGCUUUUAGCUCUUCGGUUUUAACGAAAUCAUGGCGGCUGAUAAUGGCCUACCUUUUUAAAUCAAAGAUUUUAAGCGUUGCGAAAAAGGGUAUCUUGUUAGACGAAGAGGUGAUUGAUGAAAACUACGAAAAAUUCUUUCUUUGAUCUCCACGCCGUUCAUAUUAUAUUGGGAUCGUACUUUAUUUCAGUCAUCCUAGAUUCUCUAAAUGAGGCACCUCAAGUCCGUUGUUCAACUUUUCUCAAAUUUGCUGCCUUAGUAAGUUUUUCUUUUUCGACGGAUAAAUGUAAUAUGGUUAGUGAUUUUGCAUCGUUUAUGAUGUUUCGUGCUAUUUUCUAUCUGAGGAGUAAAAUCAAAGCAAUUUAUGCCAUACCUGGUUUCGUCAUUAGUUCAUUGCAGUUAACUGCCUUUGGCUUGUUUCUUGGUGGUGUAGAAAUCUAUUGCAUCACCUGGCCGGGGCAUCCUGGCCAUUGAUGAAUCAAAUGCAACUUGUGGGAAGAGGUUGGCAUCUAUUGGCUUAGACAACAAUGAGGUCAACAGACAAGCAUACAGACAACUCUUGCUGACCACUCCUGGCCUUGGCGAAUAUAUUUCUGGUGCCAUUCUUUUUGAGGAAACACUCUACCAGUCUACUAUUGAUGGAAAGAAGUUUGUGGACUGCUUGCGUGAUGAGAAUAUUGUACCUGGCAUCAAAGUUGACAAGGGUUUGGUACCUCUUCCAGGAUCAAACAAUGAGUCUUGGUGCCAAGGCUUGGAUGGAUUGGCCUCAAGAUCUGCUGAAUACUACAAGCAAGGUGCACGUUUUGCUAAGUGGAGGACGGUUGUCAGCAUUCCCUGUGGGCCUUCUGCUCUGGCUGUUAAAGAAGCUGCAUGGGGACUUGCACGCUAUGCUGCCAUUUCUCAGGACAAUGGUCUCGUGCCCAUAGUUGAACCUGAGAUUCUGCUUGAUGGGGAACAUGGAAUUGAGAGAACACUUGAAGUUGCAGAGAAGGUCUGGGCAGAAGUAUUCUUCUACUUGGCAGAAAACAAUGUUGUGUUUGAGGGUAUCCUGCUUAAGCCUAGCAUGGUAACACCAGGAGCUGAGCACAAAGAGAAGGCUUCUCCUGAGACCAUAGCCAAAUACACGCUCACAAUGCUUAAGAGAAGAGUACCACCUGCAGUUCCUGGAAUCAUGGUAUGAAUAGCUGAAUCACUCUUUGUAAGGGAUCUAAAGUGAUAUAAUGUUGCUCAUACAUCAGCAUUCCUCCUCGCGGUAGUGAAUUUAAAUCUUGAGAAUCUUUUCAAGUGCCUGCAGCCAAAAAAUAUAGUUUCCUUUUUUUAUAGACCGGGUCAAAUUCUUAAUCACUUCUUCCUUAGGUGAAAUGACGGGAAAAAGGAUAAUUUUUAGCAACUUAAGUCGUUGAAAUGAGAUAAAAACUGAAAAGUUUGGAGCACUGGACCAUGUCUAAUACGGUAAAUUAGUUGUUUUGUUAAGCAUCUUAACGUUGCUGCUGUUGGAUGUGAUUUUUCUAUUGCAAGUGUUGUCGAUUUCAAUUUGAACAUUACUGAAUCUUUUGCUAAUACUUUGGUUUAAGAGUAACGGAUGUAACUUCUAUUCACUUCUCAGUUUUUGUCGGGAGGACAGUCUGAAGUGGAAGCAACCCUUAACCUCAAUGCAAUGAACCAAUGCCCCAACCCGUGGCAUGUGUCCUUCUCAUAUGCACGUGCACUGCAAAACACUGUGCUUAAGACGUGGCAAGGACGUCCAGAGAAUGUGGAAGCUGCGCAGAAGGCACUUUUGGUGCGCGCCAAGGCAAAUUCCUUGGCUCAGCUUGGAGAGUAUUCUGCAGAGGGUGAAAGCGAGGAAGCUAAGAAGGGAAUGUUCGUCAAGGGCUAUACCUAUUAAGCAUCAUUUUAAGGAUGGCCAUGCUCCUUGACUUCUAUUAAAGUGUAUUUUAUAUUUUCUAUUGGUUCUUCUUACAUGUUAGUUGUGCUUUCUGAGAAAAUGUAGCAUUAGAUAGGCUUUUUAAUUUUCUUUCCCCCCUGUCUUUUAAGACUAGAGGCUUGAAUA